AUUGAACGCUGGCGGCAUGCCUUACAUAUGCAAGUCGAACGGCAGCACGGGAGCAAUCCUGGUGGCGAGUGGCGAACGGGUGAGUAAUAUAUCGGAACGUGCCCAGUCGUGGGGGAUAACGUAGCGAAAGCUACGCUAAUACCGCAUACGAUCUAUGGAUGAAAGCGGGGGAUCGCAAGACCUCGCGCGAUUGGAGCGGCCGAUAUCAGAUUAGGUAGUUGGUGAGGUAAAGGCUCACCAAGCCGACGAUCUGUAGCUGGUCUGAGAGGACGACCAGCCACACUGGGACUGAGACACGGCCCAGACUCCUACGGGAGGCAGCAGUGGGGAAUUUUUGGACAAUGGGCGCAAGCCUGAUCCAGCAAUGCCGCGUGCAGGAUGAAGGCCUCGG
rnacentral:rRNA from 1 species